rnacentral:tRNA from 1 species
GAAUUAUUUAAAUAUGAGCUUCUAACUCAAAAUAAAGUAAUAAAUACACUUAUAAUUCU